rnacentral:rRNA from 1 species
UACGUGGGGUGCGAGCGUUGUCCGGAAUUAUUGGGCGUAAAGGGCUCGUAGGCGGUCUGUUGCGUCAGGAGUGAAAACUCGGGGCUUAACCCCGAGCCUGCUUCUGAUACGGGCAGACUAGAGGUAUGCAGGGGAGAACGGAAUUCCAGGUGUAGCGGUGAAAUGCGUAGAUAUCUGGAGGAACACCGGUGGCGAAGGCGGCAUCCUGGACCGACACUGACGCUGAGGAGCGAAAGCCAGGGAGCAAAGCGGG